UACGUAGGGUGCGAGCAUUGUCCGGAAUUAUUGGGCGUAAAGAGCUUGUAGGCGGUUUGUCGCGUCUGCCGUGAAAGUCCGGGGCUCAACUCCGGAUCUGCGGUGGGUACGGGCAGACUAGAGUGAUGUAGGGGAGACUGGAAUUCCUGGUGUAGCGGUGAAAAUGCGCAGAUAUCAGGAGGAACACCGAUGGCGAAGGCAGGUCUCUGGGCAUUAACUGACGCUGAGGAGCGAAAGCAUGGGGAGCGAACAGG
rnacentral:rRNA from 1 species